rnacentral:rRNA from 1 species
CAGGACGAACGCUGGCGGCGUGCCUAAUACAUGCAAGUCGAACGGUCUUUCUAUGGAAGCUUGCUUCCACUGAGAAGAUAGUGGCGAACGGGUGAGUAACACGUGGGUAACCUGCCCAUAAGAGGGGGAUAACAUCCGGAAACGGGUGCUAAUACCGCAUAGUUUUCUUGAUUGCAUGAUUGAGAAGGAAAGACGGCCUUUGUGCUGUCGCUUAUGGAUGGACCCGCGGCGUAUUAGUUAGUUGGUGAGGUAACGGCUCACCAAGACGAUGAUACGUAGCCGACCUGAGAGGGUGAUCGGCCACAUUGGGACUGAGACACGGCCCAAACUCCUACGGGAGGCAGCAGUAGGGAAUCUUCCGCAAUGGACGAAAGUCUGACGGAGCAACGCCGCGUGAGUGAAGAAGGUUUUCGGGAAUCGUAAAACUCUGUUGUCAGAGAAGAACAAGUUGGAGAGUAACUGCUCCAGCCUUGACGGUAUCUGACCAGAAAGCCACGGCUAACUACGUGCCAGCAGCUGC